rnacentral:rRNA from 1 species
GGGAGAGGGAGCCUGAGAAACGGCUACCACUUCUAUGGAAGGCAGCAGGCGCGCAAAUUGCCCACUCUCGCCGAGAGGAGGCAGCGACAAGAGAUAACAUCUCCUUUCACUUCUUGUGAGUGGAGUUUGUAAUGGAUGUUACACAAACCAUUCAAUGAGUAACAAUUGGAGGGCAAGUCUGGUGCCAGCAGCCGCGGUAAUUCCAGCUCCAUUGGUGUAUACCAAUGCUGUUGCUGUUAAAAAGCUCGUAGUUGGAUUCAGGGCGCCGGUUGUGGGCGAAUGCGGUUCGCUGCUGUUCGCUCGCAGUAUGCCAGUGUCCUUUUGACGUGGGUGAGGCUUGCUCGCGUCCCAUUAAUUUGGGGUGUGAGCAUUACGUGCGUUUGGCACAAAGGCCCAUCCACGCAUGCUACUGUGAACAAAACAGCGUGUUUCAAGCAGUCGGUACGACGUGCAUGACUAAGCAUGGCAUAGCAAGGCAUCGGCCUCUCUCGAUGUUCUUUGCUGGUUUCGACACGGGGGACGGAAAGUUCAGGGUGGCCCCCUCACAGGGCCUCUGCAUUUCAUGCCCUGUGAGACCAUUUCCUUUGGUGUCAAUGGUGGCUGGCGGGGAAAUACGUAUUCUCAAACGAGCGGUGAAAUGCUCAGACUUUGGGGGGACGAACCUCCGCGAAGGCAUUUUUCAAGCAUGCCUCCAUCAAUCAAGAACGAAAGUGCUGGGAGCAAAGAUGAUCAGAUACCGUCGUAGUCAGUACUGUAAACGAUGCCAGCUCGGGAUUGGGAAAACCCGAGUAUAUGACUUCCCCUGCACCGCUCCCCAAACGAGAAAAUCCAAGCUUUCGGGUUCAGGGGGAAGUACAGUCGCAAGGCUGAAACUUAAAGGAAUUGACGGAAUGGCACCACAAGGCGUGGAAUAUGCGGCUUAAUUUGACCCAACACGGGGAAUCUUACCAGGUCAGGACAUUGCGAGGAUUGACAGAUUGACAGCUCUUUCAUGAUUCAUUGGAUGGUGGUGCAUGGCCGUUCCUGGUUGGUGAAGUGAUUUGUCUGGUUGAUUCCGUUAACGAACGAGAUCUCUGCCACCUAUCUAGGUCCUAUCCCCGCUGUAGGCAACGCGUCUCCCUCGUGGUGAUUGCGUGCUGAGGGGGUGAGGACUUCUUAGUGGGACCUUGUACGUUUUAGUACAAGGAAGAGGAGCCGAUAGCAGGUCGGUGAUGCUCCUAGAUGUCCUGGGCCGCACGCGCAUUACAAUGACGGGCGCAACGAGCCAUCCCAUUUGGGAUCCUGCCUCGGAGGGGGUGGGUAAUCUUUUGAACGCCCGUCGUGACUGGGAUUGCUAUUUGCAAUUAUCUUCCAUGAACGAGGAAUGCCUCGUAUGCGCAGUUCAUCAAACUGCACCGAUUAUGUCCCUGCCAUUUGUACACACCGCCCGUCGUUGCUACUGAUGGUCGACGCAUAAAGGCAACGGGACGCAUUGCUGCUGAUUGCUUGCAUGACGCAGCUAAGUGUGAAACCUUGUCGAUGUUCGUAUAUUAGAGGAAGCAAAAGUCGUAACAAGGUU